UCUUCAUCGAAAAAAAAUUUAUACUUUGUCUGAAAUUUAUAUUUUCAGUUGGUAAAGUUUCUUUUGGACGUCAGUUUAUGUAUGUAUCUGUAGGCUAUCUCCCCAACCUGUGAACAGGGUGUUACUUCAUCAACCCGUCUUUGGUAAUAACUUGAUGCAAAGGAUAUACAUAAGCUGGAACUAGCGAUGCAGUGAUAGGGGCAUCCAUUUUGACACUUAGAAAGGGACACCACUCUAUCCGUAUUUUAGACGAGACAUUCUCUCAAUACAUUAUGUUGCUAGGAUUUUGGAGUUCUAACCCUUCCAAACAGUGGUGUCAAGAGACUGACCAAAGAUGUUAAAAAGAAGUGGAUGGACUACAAGAGUCAAACAAGGAAAAAAGAAGCUGAAAGAAGGAGGGAGGCAACGAGAACUGGUGGGGGGCCUCCACCGUCCAGCCUCACUGAAAUCGAACAGCGGGUUGUAUCAUUCAUACCUCCCUGCUCGAUUCAAGGUUGUGAGGGUGGCCUUGAAAGUGAAGAAUAUGAAAAGAAAUUGGUAAAUUGGACCUACAUGUAUCUUAUUACUUAAAGACACUACCCCAGCAACUCCAGUUUUUCCAGAGACUCUUCAAGCCCUGCAGGAUUUUGCCUUAUGAUGGGGCCUUUGUACCACCUACAUACAUGUACUCAGAGAGUGUGAUGUCAGCAGAUGAUGUUCCUCAAGUUGAUGCAGUUUCACAUGUUAAGGCCACAAAGACUCUCAGUGACAAAGAUACCAUUCUGAACAUAGAGAGGGAGAAACUGAAUGUGCUUUAAGAGCUUCUUGAGGUCGAAAAAAAGAGACUACAUGUUGAAGGACAGAAAUUGGCCUACAUCAUUUCUCUGGAAGCUGGCCACUUUGGCCAACUGAAUGUGCCACCAGUUAUUCAGUUUCUUUAAGCUUUGAUUAAUUUUCCCAAAUAUAAAAAUUUAUACUGAUAAUGUAGCUUCUGUUGUCACAUAUCAUCGGUUACAAAAAGUCGUUUAUCUUAAUCAUACAAUCAUUUAGAGAAACAGUUAUUGACGACAGCUUGUCUGACUUUGUGGCCGUCAUUGAGAGGUAAGGUCCCAAGUAAGCUAUCCCAUCUUCUUGGAUCAGGUCUUCUUGUGUAGGAGGAGCGGGUAACCUGUCAGCUGGAUAACUUCUGCAUCAGUCUCACUGAUGCAGAAGUUAUGCAGCUGACAGGUUGCAUACACAACUUGAUGGCAUUUUUGUGGGGUGAACGGCAGGCAGCCACCUGAUUUAUGUAUGCACCUAAUAAUGUAUAUAAACACAAACAUUACCCUUUGUUCAGAAUGCAGAUAAGAUAGACUAGUUGCAUUAUUAUGUGUAAAACUUGAAAUAUUCUAAAAAGACCAUGUCUCUGAUUUACUUUAAAGUAUGAGUAUUAUCUUAAAGCAUAACAUCUUAAUCUGUCAUUAGCACAAAUAUAUGCCUUACUAAUGUCUCAAAUAUUGAAAAAUGUUAUAUAUCCUUGAGUAGAAUAAGGGACAUAUACAUGCCUGAACCUGGAUUUAAGGAGUCCAAAAGCCCUCUCCACAGUGUUGCCUGUUCUGCAGUGUAAGUGUUGUCUGUUCCUCAGACGGUGUUGUAGGGCGUCAUGCAUAUCUGAUGGAAAAAGUGUACUUCUGUUAAACAUACUGACCAUACCAUUAAAUAUUGAAAGACAACUUAAAAUACCAGCUUAUAUAUUUCACUUCAAAUGUUAUUUCAUUUAGUGACAAUUUUAUUGGUGUCAGUUUACAUUGUGAAAUUUGGGUUUAAGUACUUUCACUCAAAGCUAGAUUUUAUUGGCGCUGCUUUCAAUUUAUGAUAUUUUAAAGUGACUAAUAUGAAAUAAACAUUGGAAUCUGAAAAUCA